UACGUAGGUGGCAAGCGUUACUCGGAAUCACUAGGCGUAAAGCGCAGGUAGGCGGUUCGGUAAGUCUCUUGUGAAAGCUCCUGGCUUAACUGGGAGAGGUCAAGGGAAACUACCGAGCUAGAGUGUGGCAGAGGAAGCUGGAAUUCCCGGUGUAGCGGUGAAAUGCGUAGAUAUCGGGAGGAAUACCUAUGGCGAAAGCAGGCUUCUGGGCCAUCUCUGACGCUGAUCUGCGAAAGCUAGGGGAGCAAACAGG
rnacentral:rRNA from 1 species